rnacentral:rRNA from 1 species
GACGAACGCUGGCGGCGUGCCUAAUACAUGCAAGUAGAACGCUGAAGGAGGAGCUUGCUUCUCUGGAUGAGUUGCGAACGGGUGAGUAACGCGUAGGUAACCUGCCUGGUAGCGGGGGAUAACUAUUGGAAACGAUAGCUAAUACCGCAUAAGAGUAGAUGUCGCAUGACAUUUGCUUAAAAGGUGCAAUUGCAUCACUACCAGAUGGACCUGUGUUGUAUUAGCUAGUUGGUGAGGUAACGGCUCACCAAGGCAACGAUACAUAGCCGACCUGAGAGGGUGAUCGGCCACACUGGGACUGAGACACGGCCCAGACUCCUACGGGAGGCAGCAGUAGGGAAUCUUCGGCAAUGGACGGAAGUCUGACCGAGCAACGCCGCGUGAGUGAAGAAGGUUUUCGGAUCGUAAAGCUCUGUUGUAAGAGAAGAACGAGUGUGAGAGUGGAAAGUUCACACUGUGACGGUAUCUUACCAGAAAGGGACGGCUAACUACGUG